rnacentral:tRNA from 1 species
GUCAAAAGCUGCAUCCGGGGUUCGAAUCCCCGCCUCACCGCCA